rnacentral:rRNA from 1 species
GAUGAUCGCUAGCGGCGUGCCUAAUGCAUGCAAGUCGAACGGGAACCUUUGGAUUAAUCUAAAGGGGAGAGUGGCGAACGGGUGAGUAACACGUUGGUGACCUGCCCCAGAGAGGGGGAUAACCAUUGGAAACGAUGGCUAAUACCCCGGAUGUCCCUAUUGUUAGAGAGUAGUGACCAAAGCUCCGGCGCUCUGGGAGGGCCUGCGGCCCAUCAGCUAGUUGGUAGGGUAACGGCCUACCAAGGCGAAGACGGGUACGGGGCGUGAGAGCGUCGACCCCCCACACUGGUACUGACACACGGACCAGAUACCGUACGGGUAGCAGCAGCAAGGAAUAUUCGCCCAAUGGAACGAAAGUCUGAGGCAGCAACGCCGCGUGGAGGAUGAAGGCCGUUCGGGUUAGUAAACUUCCUUUUCUGGGGGAAGAGAAAGGACGGUACCCCAGGAAUAAGUCUCGGCUAACUACGUG